rnacentral:rRNA from 1 species
UACGUAGGGGGCAAGCGUUGUCCGGAAUUAUUGGGCGUAAAGCGCACGCAGGCGGUUCGCUAAGUUCGAGGUGACAAUCACCGGCUUAACCGGUGAACGAUUUCGAAAACUGGCGGACUGAGAGCGAGAGAGGGACAUGGAACUCCGGGUGGAGCGGUGAAAUGCGUAGAGAUCCGGAAGAACACCAAUAGCGAAGGCAGUGUCCUGGCUCGUAUCUGACGCUGAGGUGCGAAAGCUAGGGGAGCGAACGGG